rnacentral:rRNA from 1 species
AGCAAACGCUGGCGGCGUGCCUAAUACAUGCAAGUCGAACGGGGAAAGUAGCAAUAUGAGUACUAGUCGAGCACGGGUGAGUAACGUGUGGCUAAUCUGCCCUGACGUGGGGGUUAAGUUGUCGACAGAUUAGUUAAUCUCACAUAAGACCACAAGUACUGAGGCUUAAGGGGUGAAAGGAUGUUCGCUUCAAGAUGAGUCCGCGUAAGACUAGCUAGUUGGUGAGGUAAUGGCUCACCAAGGCAACGAUCUUUGACUGGUCUGAGGGGAUGAUCAGUCACACUGAAACAGAGACACGGUCGAGUCUCCUACGAGAGGGAGGAGGAGAGAAUUGUGCACAGGGGAGGAGACUCAUGUGCAGCGACGGCGCGUGAGAGAUGAAGGCCUUCGGGUCGUAAAGCUCUGUCGCAGGAGAAUAACACAAUGAAUGUACCCGGUAAGAAAGGACCGGCUAACUUCGUG